UGAGGAAUAUUGGUCAAUGGGCGCAAGCCUGAACCAGCCAUGUCGCGUGCAGGAUGACGGCCCUAUGGGUUGUAAACUGCUUUUGUACGGGAAGAAAAAAGAUUACGUGUAAUCUAUUGCCGGUACCGUACGAAUAAGGAUCGGCUAACUCCGUGCCAGCAGCCGCGGUAAUACGGAGGAUCCGAGCGUUAUCCGGAUUUAUUGGGUUUAAAGGGUGCGUAGGCGGGUUAUUAAGUCAGUGGUGAAAGUUUGACGCUCAACGUUAAAAUUGCCAUUGAUACUGAUAGUCUUGAGUACAGUUGAGGUAGGCGGAAUGUGGUGUGUAGCGGUGAAAUGCAUAGAUAUACCACAGAACACCGAUUGCGAAGGCAGCUUACUAAAGUGUCACUGACGCUGAUGC
rnacentral:rRNA from 1 species